ensembl:lncRNA
CAGCCGCGGGUCCGUCGGCACGGACGGACAGAGGGACAGGCAGCUCUGCCUCACUGCAAACAGCGCUGCCUUACCCCGGCACACGUGUGUGUGUGUCUGUCUGUGUGUCGGUGUCUGUGUUUACACCCGUUCCCGAGUGCACACGUAGGGAACAGGUACAUGGGAACUGUGCGUGUGAAGAAGCACCUGAAGGUACAACACAGAGACACGAGGGUGUGUAACGUAGGGAUAAGACGUGUGCAGUGUGUGCGCACACACGUACUGUGAUAUAGGCGUCUCCGCGGGAUGGAAGGUGACCCGCCAGCCGGGCCGCAGGGCCCGGGCCCCGGCCCCAACCCCCGACCCCCCGACCCCGACCCUCGACCCCCCGACCCCGCUCCCAAGGCCCCAGGAGCGGAGCAGGGGGAGCAGGGGGAGCAGGGAGAGCAGGGGGAGCAGGGGGAGCAGGGGGCCGCCGAGGAGCCGCCCAGCUCUGACACCCCCCGGGACCCCCCCGCGGGCCGUGGGGACACGCCCGUGGAGGCGGCCACCAACGCGGCCGUCGAGGGGGACCCGCCGCCCUCCUCGCCCUCGCCCCCGGCCCCGGCCCGCAAGAGAGUUCGCUUCGACUGCCCGCCGUGCCCGCCCUCCCAGCAGGAGCCCAUCUUCUACCAGCCGUAUCCAGGGCAGAGAGCGCGGCCUUUCCCUCCCCGGACCAUCCCACCUGGGGCCCUGCCCUACAACAUCGCAGGACCUGCCCAGGGACUACCUGGUGGAGGCAGUGCUGGUGACCGUCUGCUGCUGCAUGCUGACUGGGGCCAUGGCCCUCAUCUACUCCCAUGAGACCCGGGCUGCGAUCAGGCGUGGGGACAUAGACCAGGCGUUCUCAGCAUCCAGAAAGGCCUGGUGCCUCAUCCUCUUCAGCCUUCUCUUUGGGUUGUUCGUCUACAUCACUUGGGUCAUCUGCGUCCUGGCAACCCUGUACAGGCAUCGGGCACCCUGAGCCCCAGAGCCAUGGUGUGUGUGCCAGGGGCUCCUUGCAGCUCACCAUGGCCCCAGGGGGCACUGACAGGCGAAGUAGCCACAGCCCCGCUGGGACUGUCCUGGGAAAUGAGUGACCACAAAGUGUUAUCUGGGCAGAGGGGCAGCUCUGUCCUUCCUGGCGACGCGAGGAGUUGCUCCAGAGCCACGUGGGCCUUCGCCCACCCCCUCAGCCCUGCUGAGGAACCCAGACUGAAGUGAUGCCAGAGCCAGCUCUGGGCAAGGACUCAUGUUGGAGCAGUGGCACCAUGUACGGGAUCGGGCUCUGCUGUGGGAUGCUGAAUCCCAUUACCAUGGGCUGUCACUUAGAGCUGCUAAAUGUGACUCUGGAACACAGGGAGAAUCUGUAGAACUGGGGCUGGAGACAGAGCUAAUGGCUGAGGUGUAACAGAGAGACCCAGGUGUAUGGGAAGCCCUCACGAGUCAUUAAUAAUGUGGCAAGAUACAAACUCACAUAUGCAACUUCUCCAGUAAUUUUGCACACACAUACACAGACACAGACACUGUAUCACCACCUCCUUGCUGCUUCAAGGCUGAAAUAAAAUACAGCUGUAGCCAAAGCUUCUGUUUUCU